rnacentral:tRNA from 1 species
GCUCCAAUGGCUCAGGUGGUUAGAGCGCGGCCAUGGUAAGGCCGAGACCGCCGGUUCAAAUCCGGCUUGGAGCU